UUGAACGCUGGCGGCAGGCCUAACACAUGCACGUCGAACGGUAACAGGAAACAGCUUGCUGUUUCGCUGACGAGUGGCGGACGGGUGAGUAAUGUCUGGGAAACUGCCUGAUGGAGGGGGAUAACUACUGGAAACGGUAGCUAAUACCGCAUAACGUCGCAAGGCCAAAGAGGGGGACCUUCGGGCCUCUUGCCAUCGGAUGUGCCCAGAUGGGAUUAGCUAGUAGGUGGGGUAACGGCUCACCUAGGCGACGAUCCCUAGCUGGUCUGAGAGGAUGACCAGCCACACUGGAACUGAGACACGGUCCAGUCUCCUACGGGAGGCAGCAGUGGGGAAUAUUGCACAAUGGGCGCAAGCCUGAUGCAGCCAUGCCGCGUGUAUGAAGAAGGCCUUCGGGUUGUAAAGUACUUUCAGCGGGGAUGAAGGGAGUAAAGUUAAUACCUUUGCUCAUUGACGUUACCCGCAGAAGAAGCACCGGCUAACUCCGUG
rnacentral:rRNA from 1 species